CACGUAGGGGCCAAGCGUUGUCCGGAUUCAUUGGGCGUAAAGAGCUCGUAGGCGGUUCAGUUAGUCGGGUGUGAAAUCUCCGGGCUCAACCCGGAGGGGCCACCCGAUACUGCUGUGACUCGAGUCCGGUAGGGGAGUGGGGAAUUCCUGGUGUAGCGGUGAAAUGCGCAGAUAUCAGGAGGAACACCCGUGGCGAAGGCGGCUCUCUGGGACGGUACUGACGCUGAGACGCGAAAGCGUGGGGAGCGAACAGG
rnacentral:rRNA from 1 species